rnacentral:rRNA from 1 species
CGGGUGCGGAACACGUGUGCACCUGCCUUAUCUGGGGGAUAGCCUUUCGAAAGGAAGAUUAAUACCCCAUAAUAUGUUGAAUGGCAUCAUUCGACAUUGAAAACUCCGGUGGAUAGAGAUGGGCGCGCGCCAAGAUUAGAUAGUUGGUUGAGGUAACGGGCUCACCAAGUCUACGAUCUUUAAGGGGGCCUGAAAGGGUGAUCCCCCAACUGGUACUGAGACACGGGACCAGACUCCUACGGGAGGGCAGCAGUUUUUUUUUGUUGGUGGGGGGGGUGAAAAACAAAAAAAUAAUUGGGGGGGUGAAAAUAAAACAAAAAAAAAAGUAAAGAAAAAAAAAAAAAAUUUUUAAAAAUUUUUGGGGGAACCAAAUGGGUUGAGAGCCUUGAUUCCCAGCAAAUUCCCCCGGGUUGGAAGGGGACCGACUUUUGGGCGCCCCCCUUAAAUGGGGUUGUAAACUUCUUUUGUAUAGGGAUAAACCUACCCUCGUGAGGGUAGCUGAAGGUACUAUACGGAAUAAAAGCCAACCCCGGGGGGGUAAAACUUUCCCCCGGUUUGGCCCCAAGCAGCCGGGGUAAUACGGAGGGUGCAAGGCGUUAU